AACGAACGCUGGCGGCAGGCUUAACACAUGCAAGUCGAACGGGUGCAGCAAUGCAUCAGUGGCAGACGGGUGAGUAACACGUGGGAACCUUCCUAGGGGUACGGAACAACUCAGGGAAACUUGAGCUAAUACCGUAUACGUCCGUGAGGAGAAAGAUUUAUCGCCCUUAGACGGGCCCGCGUCGGAUUAGCUAGUUGGUGGGGUAACGGCCUACCAAGGCGACGAUCCGUAGCUGAUCUUAGAGGAUGAUCAGCCACACUGGGACUGAGACACGGCCCAGACUCCUACGGGAGGCAGCAGUGGGGAAUCUUGGACAAUGGGCGCAAGCCUGAUCCAGCCAUGCCGCGUGAGUGAGGAAGGUCUUCGGAUUGUAAAGCUCUUUUGCCAGGGACGAUAAUGACGGUACCUGGAGAAUAAGCCCCGGCAAACUUCGUGCCAGCCGCCGCAGUAAAAC
rnacentral:rRNA from 1 species